rnacentral:rRNA from 1 species
UGGGGAAUAUUGCACAAUGGGCGCAAGCCUGAUGCAGCGACGCCGCGUGCGGGAUGGAGGCCUUCGGGUUGUAAACCGCUUUUGUUCAUGAGCAAGCCCUUCGGGGUGAGUGUAGUGUUCGAAUAAGCACCGGCUAACUACGUGCCAGCAGCCGCGGUAAUACGUAGGGUGCAAGCGUUAUCCGGAAUUAUUGGGCGUAAAGGGCUCGUAGGCGGUUCGUCGCGUCCGGUGUGAAAGUCCAUCGCUUAACGGUGGAUCUGCGCCGGGUACGGGCGGGCUGGAGUGCGGCAGGGGAGACUGGAAUUCCCGGUGUAACGGUGGAAUGUGUAGAUAUCGGGAAGAACACCAAUGGCGAAGGCAGGUCUCUGGGCCGUCACUGACGCUGAGGAGCGAAAGCGUGGGGAGCGAACAGG